rnacentral:rRNA from 1 species
GAUGAACGCUGGCGGCGUGCCUAAUACAUGCACGUCGAGGGAAGCGGGGGCGGGUGAGUAACCCGUGGACAACCUCCUAUAAUACUGGGAUAACUUCGGGAAACCGGAGCACAACCGGAUACCUAUAGGAGGAUCCGCGCUGCAUUAGCUCGUUGGUAAGUUAACGGCAUACCAAGCCAACGAUGCAUAGCCGACCUGAGAGAGUGAGCGGCCACACUGGAACUAGGACACGGUCCGGACUCCUGCGGGAGGCAGCAGUAGGUAGUCGUCCGCAAUGGGCGAAAGCCUGACGGAGCAACGGCGCGUGAGUGAUGAGUGUCUUCGGAUCGUAAAACUCUGUUAUUAGGGAAGCGGUACCUAAUCAGAGAGCCACGGCUAACUACGUGCUAGGAGCCGCGGUAAUUC